UACGUAGGGGCCAAGCGUUGUCCGGAUUUAUUGGGCGUAAAGAGCGUGUAGGCGGCCAAGCAGGUCAGCUGUGAAAACUCGAGGCUCAACCUCGAGACGUCGGUUGAAACCGCUUGGCUAGAGUCCGGAAGAGGAGAGUGGAAUUCCCGGUGUAGCGGUGAAAUGCGCAGAUAUCGGGAAGAACACCCGUGGCGAAGGCGGCUCUCUGGGACGGUACUGACGCUGAGACGCGAAAGCGUGGGGAGCGAACAGG
rnacentral:rRNA from 1 species